GGAGGAGUGCCCGAGUGGUUUAUGGGGGCGGUCUUGAAAACCGCUUGGCGUAACCAGCCACGGGGGUUCGAAUCCCUCCUCCUCCG
rnacentral:tRNA from 1 species